GACAGCCCCCGAAAGGGGGAAGUUAAAAAUAAAAUUUGUCGUAUUGGUAGACUUUGAAAGUUAAUUUUCAAAGGUUGAAGAUUCGGCUGAUGUGCAUACAA
rnacentral:sRNA from 12 species